UUGGGAAUGCAGCUCAAAAUGGUGGUAAUUUCAUCUAAGCUAAAUAUUGGCCAGAGCCGAUAGCGCACAAGUAGAGUGAUCGAAAGAUGAAAAGCCCUUGAAAAGAGAGUUAAACAGUAUGUGAAAUUGUUGAAAGGGAAGCGCUUACAACCAGACUUGCGCGCGGCGGUUCCCCCUUCCUUUUGGUUGGGCUACUCCGUCGUGUCCAGGCCAACAUCGGUUCUGGGGGUCGGUUAAAGACCCUGAGAAUGUAUCUACCCUUCGGGCGUAGACUUAUAGCUCAGGGUGUCAUGCGACCUCCCGGGACCGAGGAACGCGCUUCGGCUCGGAUGUUGGCGUAAUGGUUGUCAGCGACCCGUCUUGAAACACGGACCAAGGAGUCUAACAUCUAUGCGAGUGUUUGGGUGUCAAACCCGGAACGCGAAAUGAAAGUGAACGGAGGUAGGAAGCCAUGAGGCUGCACUAUCGACCGAUCCUGAUGUCUUCGGAUGGAUUUGAGUAAGAGCAUAGCUGUUGGGACCCGAAAGAUGGUGAACUAUGCCUGAAUAGGGUGAAGCCAGAGGAAACUCUGGUGGAGGCUCGCAGCGGUUCUGACGUGCAAAUCGAUCGUCAAAUUUGGGUAUAGGGGCGAAAGACUAAUCGAACCAUCUGGUAGCUGGUUCCUGCCGAAGUUUCCCUCAGGAUAGCAGUAACGUUUUCAGUUUUAUGAGGUAAAGCGAAUGAUUAGAGGCCUUGGGGUUGAAACAACCUUAACCUAUUCUCAAACUUUAAAUAUGUAAGAAGUCCUUGUUGCUUAAUUGAACGUGGACAUUUGAAUGUAUCGUUACUAGUGGGCCAUUUUUGGUAAGCAGAACUGGCGAUGCGGGAUGAACCGAACGUGAGGUUAAGGUGCCGGAAUGUACGCUCAUCAGACACCACAAAAGGUGUCAAUGCAUCCAGACAGCCGGACGGUGGCCAUGGAAGUCGGAAUCCGCUUAGGAGUGUGUAACAACUCACCGGCCGAAUGCAUUGGCCCUGAAAAUGGAUGGCGCUUAAGCGUGCUACCUAUACCUCGCCGUCAGGGUUGACAUGAUGCCCUGACGAGUAGGCAGGCGUGGAGGUCCGUGACGAAGCCUUGGG
rnacentral:rRNA from 1 species